GACUAGAGUGGAACUCCACAGGAAAUAUGUCAGCUCCACAGGAAACACGUGAUCUUUAAGAACGUAAAGUGGGGCUAAUCUUUACGCCGUAAAAUGGAGCUCCACAGGAAACACGCGAUCUACACUGUGUUUGUACCAAGAGAGAGUCUGGACUAAGUCUUCGAACCUGAAUUGCCAUUACAUUAAAAGGAACAUUGUUUUAUAAACCAAAUUGUAAACAUGGAUCCCCGUUUAAAAGCGGCUUUGCUUUUUCAAGACAAAAUUAUACGGCGGUGCACACUACCAUGCCGGGACAAGGUACAUUGUCACCCGGACUUGGCUUCCUCCCUACAACUGUGAGCCACUUCAAUCCCUUCCUGUGAUGAAGCCAGGUAUAAAAGAAAUGUUCUUUCUCGACUCAUGAUGUGCUGAGAAAAGGACAUGAUUUGGUGGCCACCAAUAUGUGUCACUCUUGAGGUCAAUUUUCUGUUUAUGUUAGUGUGCAGGAACCUGUUCAGUGUUCCAGGUUAAGUACAUUUUAGAUCACGUUCUGAUCUAUUUUGUGUUCAGCAUGUCUUCAGUUUAUUCAGUGAAUUCACAUGCUUACUUGACAGACCUGUACUGUGGAGUACAGCCUUUUGAUUAAAAGGUGAUACAUCAGAUGUUAAAUCAGAUAUUUAAAUAAUAGUAUUAAAAUACCUAGAAGAUGAGUUCUGACAGUAGAAUUGGUUUAUCCGAUAUAGUUACCAAAUUAUGUCAUUAAAUUGUCGUUAUAAUUGGGCAGUGCAGUUCAGUCUGAAUAAAUGUGUCAGCUAAAUGCUGUAAAUGUUAAAAUAUGAUGAAACAGAAAUUAUAGAACUUCUGUAGAGGUUGAUCAAGACUAAGCAUAUGAAUGUACUUUCGGGUCAGUCCAUGCCAAAUCAACCAGGGGCUCCAUGGGCAUCAUUCCUGAUUUUGAUGAAAACUUGGUAUGUAAAAUUUGAUCCUUAUAGAGAACACUGAAAAUUCCCCAAGUUUUAUUGAAAAAUUCUGAUGCAGUCCAAAGUUAUGGCCCUUUCAAAUUUGGGUGCCACGCCCCUUUUUUGCACUCACGAAUCACGCAUGUAAUUUGUAAGGGUUUUCAAGAGACAAUAUGUUCGCUUCUAAGCAUGCUAGAGAGCUGAAAAUUGCUCUCCUGGUACACUUUUCCCUGCUCUUUCAGAAUCUGGCAUUAAAAUUAAGCUCACGGGAAGCACUUCAAAGCUAUGGACUUGCAAAAAUCAGUUUUUGGUUCACUUUGGACUGCAUCUGAAUUUUUCAAUAAAACUUGGGGAAUUCUCAGUGUUCUCUAUAAGGAUCAAAAUACCAAGUUUUCAUCAAAAUCAGGAAUGAUGCGCAUGGAACUUUUAUGGACAUUGGUUGAUUUGGCACGGACUGACCCUUUCACAUUUUGCUAAUUGUGUACAGGCUGUGUUUUUAAGCCUGUUUAUAAAGAGCAUGCUGCUGCAGCAUUAACAGUUAACAGUUGUUAACAAUUAAUACUUUAUUUGUACUAGCAGUAAUUUCUGUAUGUUAUAUCUU